rnacentral:rRNA from 1 species
UACGAAGGGUGCAAGCGUUACUCGGAAUUACUGGGCGUAAAGCGUGCGUAGGCGGUUCGUUAAGUCCGUUGUGAAAGCCCUGGGCUCAACCUGGGAAUGGCAGUGGAUACUGGCGAGCUAGAGCGUGAUAGAGGAUGGUGGAAUUCCCGGUGUAGCGGUGAAAUGCGUAGAGAUCGGGAGGAACACCAGUGGCGAAGGCGGCCAUCUGGAUCAACACUGACGCUGAGGCACGAAAGCGUGGGGAGCAAACAGG